GACGAACGCUGGCGGCGUGCUUAACACAUGCAAGUCGAACGGGUCUGCCCUGUUUUUUGCGGGGUGGGUCAGUGGCGAACGGGUGAGUAACACGUGAGUAACCUGCCCCUCACUUCUGGAUAACCGCUUGAAAGGGUGGCUAAUACGGGGUGUUCUGGCUGUGCCGCAUGGUGUGGCUGGGAAAGAUUCACUUUUGGGGUGUUUUGGUGGGGGAUGGGCUCGCGGCCUAUCGGCUUGUUGGUGGGGUGAUGGCCUGCCAAGGCUUUGACGAGUGGCCGUGCUGGGAGGGUCGGCGGGCACACUGGGGAGGAGAGGCGGCGCAGACUCCUGCGGGAGGCAGCAGUGGGGGGUAGUGCACAAUGGGAGGAAGCCUGAUGCAGCGACGUCGCGUGAGGGAUGGAGGCCUUCGGGUUGUGAACCUCUUUCGCCGGUGAAGAAGGUCCUGCUCUUUGUGGUGGGGUUGACGGUAGCCGGGUUAUGAAGCGCCGGCUAACUACGUG
rnacentral:rRNA from 1 species